rnacentral:rRNA from 1 species
AGCGAACGCUGGCGGCAGGCCUAACACAUGCAAGUCGAACGAAGUCUUCGGACUUAGUGGCGGACGGGUGAGUAACACGUGGGAACGUGCCUUUAGGUUCGGAAUAACUCAGGGAAACUUGUGCUAAUACCGAAUGUGCCCUUCGGGGGAAAGAUUUAUCGCCUUUAGAGCGGCCCGCGUCUGAUUAGCUAGUUGGUGAGGUAAAGGCUCACCAAGGCUACGAUCAGUAGCUGGUCUGAGAGGAUGACCAGCCACAUUGGGACUGAGACACGGCCCAAACUCCUACGGGAGGCAGCAGUGGGGAAUCUUGCGCAAUGGGCAAAAGCCUGACGCAGCCAUGCCGCGUGGAUGAUGAAGGUCUUAGGAUUGUAAAAUCCUUUCACCGGUGAAGAUAAUGACUGUAGCCGGAGAAGAAGCCCCGGCUAACUUCGUGCCAGCCGCCGCCGUAAUAC